rnacentral:misc_RNA from 1 species
AAUAUGUAAAUUUCAGGGACUAAAUGGGAUAUUUUGUAAUUAUUUUAUAUUUAUGUAAUUUUGGGGUGUGAUGGCUCAAGCAUAUUGAUGUCUCCUCCUGUCACACCUCAUUGUGUUCCUAACGCUCUUUAGGGGGGAGUGACUAGUCGGCAAGUGCUGGGCCCGACAGUCAUCGGUUGGUGAGUCCCUAUUCCUUCACUGCUUGUAGGUUUCCCCCCUGCCUACAAGUGUAUGUAAGGAAUCCCUAUUUCAUUGUAUUGAUUAUGAUAUUGGAAUGAAAUAAGUAGCCCGUUCCUGAUAUAUCGGUGCCCCGUUGUUCUUGAUGCUUGAGAUGCUUGUGUAUAUCUAUUAUUGCCCUGUUGCUUGAUGUGUUUGCUGUGCCUGUGAUGCUUGCUUAUAUGAGACUUGUGGGAGAAUCUCCCUUAAUUGGCUUGCUAAAGCCCUAUUCUAAUGAAAGACCCUUUUGAUGUGCAGAUUAUUGUGAGAAUCUCCUGGUUGACUUGUCUUGAAAGAGUUCAAGUCAAGUGCCGCACGGUCGUAAGUGAGUGUUAAAACCUAGGCCCGUGACAACAAGGGCUUUCUGGUCAAGGAGCGUAUAGCCUAUUUGACA